rnacentral:rRNA from 1 species
AGGGCACCACCAGGAGUGGAGCCUGCGGCUUAAUUUGACUCAACACGGGAAACCUCACCCGGCCCGGACACGGACAGGAUUGACAGAUCGAUAGCUCUUUCUCGAUUCCGUGGGUGGUGGUGCAUGGCCGUUCUUAGUUGGUGGAGCGAUUUGUCUGGUUAAUUCCGAUAACGAACGAGACUCUGGCAUGCUAACUAGUUACGCGACCCCCCGAGCGGUCGGCGUCCCCCAACUUCUUAGAGGGACAAGUGGCGUUCAGCCACCCGAGAUUGAGCAAUAACAGGUCUGUGAUGCCCUUAGAUGUCCGGGGCUGCACGCGCGCUACACUGACUGGCUCAGCGUGUGCCUACCCUACGCCGGCAGGCGCGGGUAACCCGUUGAACCCCAUUCGUGAUGGGGAUCGGGGAUUGCAAUUAUUCCCCAUGAACGAGGAAUUCCCAGUAAGUGCGGGUCAUAAGCUUGCGUUGAUUAAGUCCAUGCCCUUUGUACACACCGCCCGUCGCUACUACCGAAUGGAUG